ACAGGGGAUGUUAUGAUCACGAAUGAAGCCCAAGGAGGAGUAUUAGUGCUAUGGAGCAUAAACCUUUGCAAAUGCCAGUGGAUGGGCGAGAUUGGAGCACUGACCUUCAGAGAUGCUUCCCUGAAGAAGCUCCAGGGAUGGGUGUUGAGAAGCCUAAUGUUCUGAAGACAUGCCAGAAGCUGAGCUGUAGGCCCUCUCCUACAGUUUAAGGAUUCCAGACCAUUAUCACAACUAGGAAGCAGAGCAUUUAUCAUGCCUCUGCUAACAGAAGUCUUGUGCCUGAGGGAGCGUGAGGAGAAUUUGUGUUUGCAGCUCUGUGGGAUUUGUCCCUCACUCAUAUCUGAAAAUUUGUACCUUGAGGAGAAGAAGAGAAUGAGCAUCCAAGUUUCUAAGACGAAACAGUCU